UCUCUCCCAAACCAGAUCUCUUUUCAUAGCUACCAACUUAGAUCUAUUUUACCCCCCACAGAUUUCAAAGGUGCAUGUCAUCUCAGGGACGUGACUGUGAGGAUGAGGAUAUGUAACUGAUCAUCUCUUUCUCAUCUCUCUCUCUCUUUCUAUUCCUUCCUCUUCCACCGCAGUUCGCCGGCCGUUGCCGCCGGCUCUCGUAUCUUUCCCCGCGCUCUCUCUCUCUGGCAAUCUGAAAAUGGCGCUGUUUAUCUGUCCUAGGGAAGUGAGUUUUGUUGGAGAUUCCAGGUCCUUUUUUAUCGUCGAGCCUAUCGAUGUCGACGAAGCCAAUCGACGAUUUGGCUUUUGAAUUACUUCUUUUGUUUGAUUUAAUCUUUAUUUGUCGUCGUUAUUUUUUAUAUUUUGAUAUUCAUCCAUAUUUAUAUAUAUUUGUGUUGUUUUGGUAUUGCUAAUUUUUAUGGAUGUAGGAACUUCUUACCUAACAAGGUCAUAUCCAUGGUGGUGAUGGAUAGGUACAGAAGGGGUGGAGAAGAAGAGCUAAUUUGGCGACGAUAAUUGAUGUUUGAAAAAGAUUUUAAGAAUUUAUUUAUUAAGGCUGCUUCCGAGAAGACGCGAACUUUGGUGUACAAGACAGUUGAGCUACAAACAUAGAUAGAAAGGAAUAAAGAAGACAUCAAUUUUAGUCUGUUUUGUAAUCGAUGUAAUUUUUGUAGGGCACUCUUUUUCCUCCUUGAGUUUUUUCCCACAGGGUUUUGCUCUUGAGGGGUUUUAACGAGGCCUUUUUUUUGUGGGUUAUCUCUUCUGACUUGAAAGGCUAUGUUAUCUAAGUUUCCGGAGUAUUUACAUACUUUCGGUUAGAUGAUAUACCUUCUUGAACGAAGGAAACUCUG